GACGAACGCUGGCGGCGUGCUUAACACAUGCAAGUCGUACGGUAAGGCCCUUUCGGGGGGACACGAGUGGCGGACGGGCGAGUAACACGUGAGUAACCUGCCCACAACUUUGGGAGAACGCUAGGAAACUGGUGCGAAUACUGGAUAUGUGCUCCCGCCGCAUGGAGGGGGGUGGAAAGCUCCGGCGGUUGUGGAUGGACGCGCGGCCUAUCAGCUUGUUGGUGGGGUAGGGGCCUACCAAGGCGGCGACGGGUAGCCGGCCUGAGGGGGUGACCUGCCACAUUGGGGCUUAGAGACGGCCCCGGCUCCUACGGGGGGCCGCAGGGGGGAAUUUUGCACCAUGGGCGCGAGCCUGAUGCAGCCACGCCGCGUGCGGGAUGACGGCCUUCGGGUUGUAAACCGCUUUCAGCAGGGACGAAGCUUUUUGUGACGGUACCUGCAGAAGAAGCACCGGCUAACUACGUG
rnacentral:rRNA from 1 species